rnacentral:rRNA from 1 species
GUGAGGAAUUUUCCGCAAUGGGCGAAAGCCUGACGGAGCAAUGCCGCGUGAAGGAUGAAGGCCUAUGGGUUGUAAACUUCUUUUCUUAGAGAAGAAUAUUGACGGUAUCUGAGGAAUAAGCAUCGGCUAACUCUGUGCCAGCAGCCGCGGUAAGACAGAGGAUGCAAGCGUUAUCCGGAAUGAUUGGGCGUAAAGCGUCUGUAGGUGGCUUCAAAAGUCUCCUGUCAAAGAUCAGGGCUUAACCCGGGGCCGGCAGGAGAAACUCUGAGGCUAGAGUUUGGUAGGGGCAGAGUGAAUUCCCGGUGGAGCUGUGAAAUUCGUAGAGAUCGGGAGGAACACCAAAGGCGAAAGCACUCUGCUGGGCCACAACUGACACUGAGAGACGAAAGCGAGGGGAGCAAAAGGGAUUAGAUACCCUUGUAGUCC